UGCGGUAUAACCUGCAAGCAUCCC
rnacentral:piRNA from 1 species